UGGGGAAUAUUGCACAAUGGGCGCAAGCCUGAUGCAGCCAUGCCGCGUGUAUGAAGAAGGCCUUCGGGUUGUAAAGUACUUUCAGCGGGGAGGAAGGUGUUGUGGUUAAUAACCGCAGCAAUUGACGUUACCCGCAGAAGAAGCACCGGCUAACUCCGUGCCAGCAGCCGCGGUAAUACGGAGGGUGCAAGCGUUAAUCGGAAUUACUGGGCGUAAAGCGCACGCAGGCGGGCUGUCAAGUCGGAUGUGAAAUCCCCGGGCUCAACCUGGGAACUGCAUUCGAAACUGGCAGGCUAGAGUCUUGUAGAGGGGGGUAGAAUUCCAGGUGUAGCGGUGAAAUGCGUAGAGAUCUGGAGGAAUACCGGUGGCGAAGGCGGCCCCCUGGACAAAGACUGACGCUCAGGUGCGAAAGCGUGGGGAGCAAACA
rnacentral:rRNA from 1 species